UGGCUCACUAUUGCCGCAUGA
rnacentral:misc_RNA from 1 species